UAGGGAAUCUUCGGCAAUGUACGAAAGUCUGACCGAGCAACGCCGCGUGAGUGAAGAAGGUUUUCGGAUCGUAAACUCUGUUGUUAGAGAAGAACAAGGGUGAGAGUAACUGUUCACCCCUUGACGGUAUCUAACCAGAAAGCCACGGCUAACUACGUGCCAG
rnacentral:rRNA from 1 species